rnacentral:rRNA from 1 species
UUUCCGGAUGAGUUGCGAACGGGUGAGUAACGCGUAGGUAACCUGCCUGGUAGCGGGGGAUAACUAUUGGAAACGAUAGCUAAUACCGCAUAACAGUAGAUAUUGCAUGAUAUCUGCUUGAAAGGUGCAAUUGCAUCACUACCAGAUGGACCUGCGUUGUAUUAGCUAGUUGGUGAGGUAGCGGCUCACCAAGGCGACGAUACAUAGCCGACCUGAGAGGGUGAUCGGCCACACUGGGACUGAGACACGGCCCAAACUCC